UUUAAUGUUUGAUGUUCUAACGUGGACCCGUGAUCCGGGUUGCGGACAGUGUCUGGUGGGUAGUUUGACUGGGGCGGUCUCCUCCUAAAGAGUAACGGAGGAGCACGAAGGUUGGCUAAUCCUGGUCGGACAUCAGGAGGUUAGUGCAAUGGCAUAAGCCAGCUUGACUGCGAGCGUGACGGCGCGAGCAGGUGCGAAAGCAGGUCAUAGUGAUCCGGUGGUUCUGAAUGGAAGGGCCAUCGCUCAACGGAUAAAAGGUACUCCGGGGAUAACAGGCUGAUACCGCCCAAGAGUUCAUAUCGACGGCGGUGUUUGGCACCUCGAUGUCGGCUCAUCACAUCCUGGGGCUGAAGUAGGUCCCAAGGGUAUGGCUGUUCGCCAUUUAAAGUGGUACGCGAGCUGGGUUUAGAACGUCGUGAGACAGUUCGGUCCCUAUCUGCCGUGGGCGCUGGAGAACUGAGGGGGGCUGCUCCUAGUACGAGAGGACCGGAGUGGACGCAUCACUGGUGUUCGGGUUGUCAUGCCAAUGGCACUGCCCGGUAGCUAAAUGCGGAAGAGAUAAGUGCUGAAAGCAUCUAAGCACGAAACUUGCCCCGAGAUGAGUUCUCCUUGAGACUUAGAGUCUCCUGAAGGAACGUUGAAGACGACGACGUUGAUAGGCCGGGUGUGUAAGCGCAGCGAUGCGUUGAGCUAACCGGUACUAAUGAACCGUGAGGCUUAACCUUACAACGCCGAAG
rnacentral:rRNA from 1 species